AUAACUUGCUCUUUAGAAAACUAACUCCCCAGGAGACCAGCAUUAUUACCUUCUGAGGGUGAUACCCCAGUGGCCUAACCACCUUCCAUAGGUUCCACCUCUCAAAUAAAGAAGCUGAUGUUCAGAGCUGAAGAACUUGCUGAAGAUCACAAAGCUGGGUCAGCAGUUAAAUCAGGAUUGCAAGGCGGGCUUAUCUGCCUCCAAAGACUUCAACCCUUUCUGCACACUCCCACUGUUUCUGUAAGAAAAAAACGGCAGGCCUCAAGUUGAAGAAACGGUAAAUAACGCCUCAUUUUACAACUACAAACAAGUAAAAUGUCAUAAAGCGGGGAAGAAAACAACCCAAAGGAAAAUGGAAAGG